GACGAACGCUGGCGGCGUGCUUAACACAUGCAAGUCGAACGGAAAGGCCCUGCUUUUGUGGGGUGCUCGAGUGGCGAACGGGUGAGUAACACGUGAGUAACCUGCCCUUGACUUUGGGAUAACUUCAGGAAACUGGGGCUAAUACCGGAUAGGAGCUCCUGCUGCAUGGUGGGGGUUGGAAAGUUUCGGCGGUUGGGGAUGGACUCGCGGCUUAUCAGCUUGUUGGUGGGGUAGUGGCUUACCAAGGCUUUGACGGGUAGCCGGCCUGAGAGGGUGACCGGCCACAUUGGGACUGAGAUACGGACCAGACUCCUACGGGAGGCAGCAGUGGGGAAUAUUGCACAAUGGGCGGAAGCCUGAUGCAGCAACGCCGCGUGCGGGAUGACGGCCUGCGGGUUGUAAACCGCUUUCGCCUGUGACGAAGCGGGAGUGACGGUAAUGGGUAAAGAAGCACCGGCUAACUACGUG
rnacentral:rRNA from 1 species